GCGACAACACCCGCACCAGCCAGCAAGCACGCUCGAUCUGGGUUUCCUUUUAAAUAUUCUUUACACGAGGAUCAAAUUAUCACACAAUCCCAGUAACUGGCAAACUGAAAGUUCAGGGUGAAAUAUUUCGUCUGUCUGAAAUGAAAACGACUUGGUAUCAACUAUUCUCCAGGUUUUAAUGAUUCAAUACAUACCAGCAAGUUUUUUUUGGAAAGUAACAGACAGGCUUCUGCUGAUGGAUGCCAAUGCACCUUAGUAACAUGGGAGCGCCAUCCAUGUUUGCUCAGCGAAUGCCAGGUUUAUAAGGACCGACCCCAGAGGGGGAUUGCGUAGAGGGCGUCGCUUCUAAGCAAGUGUCCGGGAUCUGCGCCGUGUGGACAAUGCCACAGCGCUCGCAGGGGCCAUCUCGAUUAGCUGGCCUUCCUCCAGCGUUUGUUGCAGUGUAUGGCUGCCUGAAGCCUUGUCC